rnacentral:rRNA from 1 species
CAGGCUUAACACAUGCAAGUCGAGGGGCAGCAUGGUCUUAGCUUGCUAAGACUGAUGGCGACCGGCGCACGGGUGAGUAACACGUAUCCAACCUGCCGUCUACUCUUGGACAGCCUUCUGAAAGGAAGAUUAAUACAAGAUGGCAUCAUGAGUCCGCAUGUUCACAUGAUUAAAGGUAUUCCGGUAGACGAUGGGGAUGCGUUCCAUUAGAUAGUAGGCGGGGUAACGGCCCACCUAGUCUUCGAUGGAUAGGGGUUCUGAGAGGAAGGUCCCUCACAUUGGAACUGAGACACGGUCCAAACUCCUACGGGAGGCAGCAGUGAGGAAUAUUGGUCAAUGGGCGAGAGCCUGAACCAGCCAAGUAGCGUGAAGGAUGACUGCCCUAUGGGUUGUAAACUUCUUUUAUAAAGGAAUAAAGUCGGGUAUGCAUACCCGUUUGCAUGUACUUUAUGAAUAAGGAUCGGCUAACUCCGUGCCAGCAGCCGCGGUAAUACGGAGGAUCCGAGCGUUAUCCGGAUUUAUUGGGUUUAAAGGGAGCGUAGAUGGAUGUUUAAGUCAGUUGUGAAAGUUUGCGGCUCAACCGUAAAAUUGCAGUUGAUACUGGAUAUCUUGAGUGCAGUUGAGGCAGGCGGAAUUCGUGGUGUAGCGGUGAAAUGCUUAGAUAUCACGAAGAACUCCGAUUGCGAAGGCAGCCUGCUAAGCUGCAACUGACAUUGAGGCUCGAAAGUGUGGGUAUCAAACAGGAUUAGAUACCCUGGUAGUCCACACGGUAAACGAUGAAUACUCGCUGUUUGCGAUAUACGGCAAGCGGCCAAGCGAAAGCGUUAAGUAUUCCACCUGGGGAGUACGCCGGCAACGGUGAAACUCAAAGGAAUUGACGGGGGCCCGCACAAGCGGAGGAACAUGUGGUUUAAUUCGAUGAUACGCGAGGAACCUUACCCGGGCUUAAAUUGCAGAUGAAUUACGGUGAAAGCCGUAAGCCGCAAGGCAUCUGUGAAGGUGCUGCAUGGUUGUCGUCAGCUCGUGCCGUGAGGUGUCGGCUUAAGUGCCAUAACGAGCGCAACCCUUGUUGUCAGUUACUAACAGGUUCCGCUGAGGACUCUGACAAGACUGCCAUCGUAAGAUGUGAGGAAGGUGGGGAUGACGUCAAAUCAGCACGGCCCUUACGUCCGGGGCUACACACGUGUUACAAUGGGGGGUACAGAGGGCCGCUACCACGCGAGUGGAUGCCAAUCCCAAAAACCUCUCUCAGUUCGGACUGGAGUCUGCAACCCGACUCCACGAAGCUGGAUUCGCUAGUAAUCGCGCAUCAGCCACGGCGCGGUGAAUACGUUCCCGGGCCUUGUACACACCGCCCGUCAAGCCAUGGGAGCCGGGGGUACCUGAAGUGCGUAACCGCGAGGAGCGCCCUAGGGUAAAACUGGUGACUGGGGC